GACGAACGCUGGCGGCGUGCUUAACACAUGCAAGUCGAACGGGAUUUAGUAGACAGUAGCCUUGACUAAAGAUUACUAAUGAGAGUGGCGAACGGGUGAGUAACGCGUGAGCAACCUGCCUAUGACAGUGGGAUAGCCUCGGGAAACCGGGAUUAAUACAGCAUAAAAUCGUAGAACAACAUGUUUCACCGGUCCAAGAUUGAUCGGUCAUAGAUGGGCUGGCGUCUGAUUAGCUAGUUGGAGAGAUAACAGCCCACCAAGGCGAAGAGCAGUAGCCGGUCUGAGAGGAUGAACAAGCACAUUGGCAGUGGGACACGGAGCAAACUCCUAGGGUUGGAAGCAGUAGGGAAUGAUACACAAUGGGGGAACACCUUAUGCAGGCACAUCGCGUUAACCAAGAGUAUGUUCAGAUCGUAAAGUUGUGUUCAAAGGGAAGAUAAUGACAGUACCAUAGCAGAAAGCUACGGCUAAAUACGUG
rnacentral:rRNA from 1 species